rnacentral:rRNA from 1 species
AUUGAACGCUGGCGGCAUGCCUUACACAUGCAAGUCGAACGGCAGCACGGGAGCAAUCCUGGUGGCGAGUGGCGAACGGGUGAGUAAUAUAUCGGAACGUGCCCAGUAGUGGGGGAUAACUGCUCGAAAGAGCAGCUAAUACCGCAUACGACCUGAGGGUGAAAGGGGGGGAUCGCAAGACCUCUCGCUAUUGGAGCGGCCGAUAUCAGAUUAGCUAGUUGGUGGGGUAAAGGCCUACCAAGGCAACGAUCUGUAGUUGGUCUGAGAGGACGACCAGCCACACUGGGACUGAGACACGGCCCAGACUUCUACGGGAGGCAGCAGUGGGGAAUUUUGGACAAUGGGCGCAAGCCUGAUCCAGCAAUGCCGCGUGCAGGAAGAAGGCCUUCGGGUUGUAAACUGCUUUUGUCAGGGAAGAAAUCCUCUAGGUUAAUACCCUUGGGGGGAUGACGGUACCUGAAGAAUAAGCACCGGCUAACUACGUGCCAGCAGCCACUGUAAUAC